UGCAGUCGAGGGGUAUAGGAAGCUUGCUUUCUAGAGACCGGCGCACGGGUGCGUAACGCGUAUGCAAUCUACCUUUCACAGAGGGAUAGCCCANAGAAAUUUGGAUUAAUACCUCAUAGUAAUACNACNUGGCAUCNNGAUGUAUUUAAAGAUUUAUCGGUGAAAGAUGAGCAUGCGUCCCAUUAGCUAGUUGGUAUGGUAACGGCAUACCAAGGCUACGAUGGGUAGGGGUCCUGAGAGGGAGAUCCCCCACACUGGUACUGAGACACGGACCAGACUCCUACGGGAGGCAGCAGUGAGGAAUAUUGGACAAUGGGCGCAAGCCUGAUCCAGCCAUGCCGCGUGCAGGAUGACGGUCCUAUGGAUUGUAAACUGCUUUUAUACAGGAAGAAACACCUCUACGUGUAGAGACUUGACGGUACUGUAAGAAUAAGGAUCGGCUAACUCCGUGCCAGCAGCCGCGGUAAUACGGAGGAUCCAAGCGUUAUCCGGAAUCAUUGGGUUUAAAGGGUCCGUANGCGGUCAGGUAAGUCAGUGGUGAAAGCCCAUCGCUCAACGGUGGAACGGCCAUUGAUACUGCUUGACUUGAAUUAUUAGGAAGUAACUAGAAUAUGUAGUGUAGCGGUGAAAUGCUUAGAGAUUACAUGGAAUACCAAUUGCGAAGGCAGGUUACUACUAAUAUAUUGACGCUGAUGGACGAAAGCGUGGGUAGCGAACAGGAUUAGAUACCCUGGUAGUCCACGCCGUAAACGAUGGAUACUAGCUGUUGGGAGCAAUCUCAGUGGCUAAGCGAAAGUGAUAAGUAUCCCACCUGGGGAGUACGAACGCAAGUUUGAAACUCAAAGGAAUUGACGGGGGCCCGCACAAGCGGUGGAGCAUGUGGUUUAAUUCGAUGAUACGCGAGGAACCUUACCAAGGCUUAAAUGUAGAUUGACCGGUUUGGAAACAGAUCUUUCGCAAGACAAUUUACAAGGUGCUGCAUGGUUGUCGUCAGCUCGUGCCGUGAGGUGUCAGGUUAAGUCCUAUAACGAGCGCAACCCCUGUUGUUAGUUGCCAGCGAGUCAUGUCGGGAACUCUAACGAGACUGCCAGUGCAAACUGUGAGGAAGGUGGGGAUGACGUCAAAUCAUCACGGCCCUUACGCCUUGGGCUACACACGUGCUACAAUGGCCGGUACAGAGAGCAGCCACUGGGCGACCAGGAGCGAAUCUACAAAACCGGNCACAGUUCGGAUCGGAGUCUGCAACUCGACNCCGUGAAGCNGGAAUCGCUAGUAA
rnacentral:rRNA from 1 species